rnacentral:rRNA from 1 species
GAUGAACGCUGGCGGCGUGCCUAAUACAUGCAAGUCGAGCGAACAGACGAGGAGCUUGCUCCUCUGACGUUAGCGGCGGACGGGUGAGUAACACGUGGAUACCCUACCUAUAAGACUGGGAUAACUUCGGGAAACCGGAGCUAAUACCGGAUAAUAUCUUGAACCGCAUGGUUCAAUAGUGAAAGACGGUUUUGCUGUCACUUAUAGAUGGAUCCGCGCCGCAUUAGCUAGUUGGUAAGGUAAAGGGUUACCAAGGCGACGAUGCGUAGCCGACCUGGGAGGGUGAUCGGCCACACUGGAACUGAGACACGGUCCAGGCUCCUACGGGAGGCAGCAGUAGGGAAUCUUCCGCAAUGGGCGAAAGCCUGACGGAGCAACGCCGCGUGAGUGAUGAAGGUCUUCGGAUCGUAAAACUCUGUUAUUAGGGAAGAACAAAUGUGUAAGUAACUAUGCACGUCUUGACGGUACCUAAUCAGAAAGCCACGGCUAACUACGUG